GGGACAAGUUACAACUAGCACUAGUAAUUCACGUGCAUAACACUAUUUAUGAUUGCCGUAUUAUAUGGCCCGAAGUAGAACUUUACCAACUUGAGUAGAUAACUGGGAACGAUACAUACCUUUAUCGGUAUUAUCAAUUCGAAUUGUUGUAAUUAAAUCAUGUACAAGAUAAUCUGGAUAAUAGCAUACUAUCGUUUGUCUAAAUCAGUGAUCCCAACGGGGAUUUUUUGAAAGGGUCAUAUAUAUUUUUUUUAAAUAAUUUCUAGAGUACUUGCCUACAGUAAAUCAAU